AACGAACGCUGGCGGCAGGCCUAACACAUGCAAGUCGAACGCCGUAGCAAUACGGAGUGGCAGACGGGUGAGUAACGCGUGGGAACAUACCCCUCGGUUCGGAAUAACUCAGGGAAACUUAGAGCUAAUACCGGAUACGUCCGAGGUUUUGUAUCGACCUUGGAGAAAGAUUUAUUCGCCGAAGGAUUGGCCCGCGUCUGAUUAGCUUGUUGGUGAGGUAAUGGCUCACCAAGGCGACGAUCAGUAGCUGGUCUGAGAGGAUGAUCAGCCACAUUGGGACUGAGACACGGCCCAAACUCCUACGGGAGGCAGCAGUGGGGAAUAUUGGACAAUGGGCGAAAGCCUGAUCCAGCCAUGCCGCGUGAGU
rnacentral:rRNA from 1 species